rnacentral:rRNA from 1 species
UACGAAGGGGGCUAGCGUUGCUCGGAAUCACUGGGCGUAAAGCGCACGUAGGCGGAUCUUUAAGUCAGGGGUGAAAUCCCAAGGCUCAACCUUGGAACUGCCUUUGAUACUGGGGAUCUCGAGUCCGGAAGAGGUGAGUGGAACUGCGAGUGUAGAGGUGAAAUUCGUAGAUAUUCGCAAGAACACCAGUGGCGAAGGCGGCUCACUGGCCCGAUACUGACGCUGAUGCACGAAAGCGUGGGGAGCAAACAGG